CAGGGUGAGGCUGGGCCUGGGUGGGGUCUGGCUGAGAGCAGUGGCCUGAAAUAUCCAAUUCUAGUCCUUGUCAUUCUGGUAAUCUGAAGUUGAGAGCCCUGGGAGGGGCUUGUCCAUUGUGUGGACAAAUGCUUUUCCUGGUGAUGUUAAUCAAACAUAAGCUAUAAGAAAUAUCUGUACUUCUGGCGUGAACAUGAAAUCGUUAGCCUGAAGAUCUUCUGAUCACUGGGAGCCAAUACUAGGAGCCCAUGCUUAAAUGAACAAGAAGAAAAGGCCUAUUUUUAGAAGGUGGCAUGUCAGUUUCCAUUCACCAUUCUUUAUAGUCUGCAAUGCUGACUCCGUAACCUUGAGGAAUUUCUGGGCUUACAAGUCAUCAUGACUUGAGCACAUUAUCUUGUUUCCCAAGGCCUAUUACUCCCAGAGGGGCAAGAUUUGAACACUCAUCUGUCAUGGGUUUUGCCUGUUGUUCCUAGCCCUGAUGGCUUUCCCUUCAUCUGGCUGGGACAGAUAAGAGGAAUAAAGCUGGUGGACUCUAACUCAAGGGCUGGAAGCCAGCAAGUCAAGUGCAUAUCCAUCAGCACGAGGGGCCGAAAGCAGGAAUUCAAACAGCAGCAAAUUCUUCAUUGGAUAAUGAAUAGAACAGAGGAGAGGCAGUGGAGAGGAUAAAAAUAUUAGGUUCCUGAGUUAUAUUGUAAUAAAUAAAAUGGCAAUUGUAGUCAAGAUAAUAAUACAGCAGGUUUGAGUUUUAGAGAAACUACUGUAGAAGUCUGGAUGACAAAUCCUUACAAUCCCUAAUGCAUCAAUCAUAAGGCUUCUUUACUCAGAACAGUGUAUUUACAAGGAAGCUUAUCAUUGUCCCAAAUGCAAUAUCAAAACAUCUUUAUUUUGGCGCAUCCUUAGGUGAUCCUCUUGCCUGAUGAUUGGAUCAGUGCCAGAAAGGUUCAACCAGAAAGCACUGCCUUCACUUUGAUCUUAAAUGUUUUGAAAUCUGCCAGUAGGCAGAAUAUGUAUCUUUUCCCUAACUUGGAGAAGGCCCAGGAAGGAGCACAGGGAAUGAUCAAAGAAGUUGAAAAUAGAGUCUAGGAGAAGAAUUUAAAAGAAGGGAGCUGUCUUUGGUUGGAAGAAAAAGAGAAAGUAGAAAAAUGACAACUCUAGUGGCUUUGAAGACUACAAAGAGUUCUUACUCAUAGUUAUCCAUGUAUUCAUUUAUUUAUUCACCCAAAAUGCCCUGCAGUGGGCCAGGACCUGGCGGAUAUGAAAUACAAAAAUUAGAGGUACACAAAACAAAACCCUGGCUUUAAAAAUCUCCUCUACAUGGCCAGUGACCAAUAACUGAACAAAAUCAAGUGUGGAAUUGGAUGCAAGCAGGAAAGGAGACUGAAGUGUAGGGAUUUGAGAAACUGAAAUGCUUGCCAAGGCCAAGGUAGCAGUGGAAAUAAAUACACCUCCACUGGCCAUUUGUUCAUGGGAACAACUGCUUGUUAAAUGGUGAAGUAAUUUUCAGGGUUGAUUGGGAGAAUUUAUACCAGGAGAAAGAAGGAAAAAAAGGUUAUAACUUCAUUUCGUAGUUUGGGUUAUUCUUUCUUGGGCUUGGUGUGGUCAGUAUAAAGCAGAGCAACUAUUUUCUAGUUUCCGCUGUGCACUUCAUGUAUACUAGACACUGU
rnacentral:lncRNA from 1 species